rnacentral:rRNA from 1 species
AACGAACGCUGGCGGCAUGCCUAACACAUGCAAGUCGAACGAGACCUUCGGGUCUAGUGGCGCACGGGUGCGUAACGCGUGGGAACCUGCCCUUAGGUUCGGAAUAACUCCCCGAAAGGGGUGCUAAUACCGGAUAAUGUCUUCGGACCAAAGAUUUAUCGACUUUGGAUGGGCCCGCGUUGGAUUAGCUAGUUGGUAGGGUAAAAGCCUACCAAGGCGACGAUCCAUAGCUGGUCUGAGAGGAUGAUCAGCCACACUGGGACUGGGACACGGCCCAGACUCCUACGGGAGGCAGCAGUGGGGAAUAUUGGACAAUGGGCGGAAGGCUGAUCCAGCAAUGCCGCGUGAGUGCUGAAGGCCUUAGGGUUGUAAAGCUCUUUUACCCGGGAUGAUCAUGACAGUACCGGGAGAAUAAGCUCCGGCUAACUCCGUG